GAAUUCGCCCUUAGAGUUCCCCCCUGACUCAGGACGAACGCUGGCGGCGUGCUUAAUACAUGCAAAGUCGAACGGGAGUUAAGGGUUUUCGGCCUUUAACUUUAGUGGCGAACGGGUGAGUAACGCGUGAAUAACCUGACUCAAAGAGGGGGAUAACAACGGGAAACUGUUGCUAAUACCGCAUGAGACCACAACACCGCAUGAUGAAGGGGUCAAAGAUUUAUCGCUUUGAGAGGGGUUCGCGUCCCAUUAGGUAGUUGGAGGGGUAACGGCCCACCAAGCCAACGAUGGGUAGCCGAGCUGAGAGGCUGAUCGGCCACACUGGAACUGAGACACGGUCCAGACUCCUACGGGAGGCAGCAGUAGGGAAUAUUGGGCAAUGGGCGCAAGCCUGACCCAGCAACGCCGCGUGAGGGAAGAAGGUUUUCGGAUUGUAAACCUCUGUCCUAUGUGACGAAGGAAGUGACGGUAGCAUAGGAGGAAGCCCCGGCUAACUACGUGCCAGCAGCCGCGGUAAUACGUAGGGGGCGAGCGUUGUCCGGAAUUACUGGGCGUAAAGGGUGCGUAGGCGGUUUGGUAAGUUGGAUGUGAAAUACCCGGGCUUAACUUGGGGGCUGCAUCCAAUACUGUCGGACUUGAGUGCAGGAGAGGAAAGCGGAAUUCCUAGUGUAGCGGUGAAAUGCGUAGAUAUUAGGAGGAACACCGGUGGCGAAGGCGGCUUUCUGGACUGUAACUGACGCUGAGGCACGAAAGCGUGGGGAGCAAACAGGAUUAGAUACCCUGGUAGUCCACGCCGUAAACGAUGAA
rnacentral:rRNA from 1 species